rnacentral:lncRNA from 1 species
UAACUGCCACUAAAGAAAGUCUACAAGAAACAUGGGCAGUUAACUGCCAUUGAAGAUAGAGUCUGCGAGAGACUGACAGUUAACUGCCAUUAGAGAAUGUCUAUAAGUGACUUGGAAGUGAAAUGUCAUCUUUGAAAAGGCUUGAAAAGACACUUUGAGAAAAGGAGAUGAACAGUUAACUGACACUGCUGAGGAGAACUGAGUAAAACGUCAUUCUGAAAGGAACUGAGUUGAGACAUUCUGAAGAAAACUAGUCUUUUUUCAGUAUUUUGGAGGACUGAGCAGGAAUCAGCAACCUCUUCAGCUCUGAAGGCCACCAGCAUAACUCAUCACAG